GACGAACGCUGGCGGCGUGCCUAACACAUGCAAGUCGAACGGAGCACUUCGGUGCUUAGUGGCGAACGGGUGAGUAACGCGUGAGAAACCUGCCUUUCAGUGGGGGACAACAGUUGGAAACGACUGCUAAUACCGCAUAAUGUCGUUUGGGGGCAUCCUCGAAUGACCAAAGAUUUAUUGCUGAAAGAUGGUCUCGCGUCUGAUUAGCUAGAUGGCGGGGUAACGGCCCACCAUGGCGACGAUCAGUAGCCGGUCUGAGAGGAUGAACGGCCACAUUGGGACUGAGAUACGGCCCAGACUCCUACGGGAGGCAGCAGUGGGGAAUAUUGGGCAAUGGGGGAAACCCUGACCCAGCAACGCCGCGUGAAGGAAGAAGGCCUUCGGGUUGUAAACUUCUUUUACCAGGGACGAACACAAUGACGGUACCUGGAGAAAAAGCAACGGCUAACUACGUGCCAGCAGCCGCCGUAAAAC
rnacentral:rRNA from 1 species